GAUGAAGAACGUAGCGAAAUGCGAUAAGUAAUGUGAAUUGCAGAAUUCAGUGAAUCAUCGAAUCUUUGAACACACAUUGCGCCCGCCAGUAUUCUGGCGGGCAUGCCUGUUCGAGCGUCAUUUCAACCAUCAAGCCCCCGGCUUGUGUUGGGGACCUGCGGCUGCCGCAGGCCCUGAAAACCAGUGGCGGGCUCGCUAGUCACUCCGAGCGUAGUAAUACAUCUCGCUCAGGGCGUGCUGCGGGUUCCGGCCGUUAAAAGCCUUAUUUACCCAAGGUUGACCUCGGAUCAGGUAGGAAGACCCGCUGAACUUAAGCAUAUCAAUAAGCGGAGGA
rnacentral:misc_RNA from 1 species